ACUCAAAUGAAUAGACGGGGGCCCGCACAAGCGGUGGAGUAUGUGGUUUAAUUCGAAGCAACGCGCAGAACCUUACCUGGCCUUGACAUCCCUUGACAGCUACAGAGAUGUAGUUUCCCCUUCGGGGGCAGGGAGACAGGUGCUGCAUGGCUGUCGUCAGCUCGUGUCGUAAGAUGUUUGGUUAAGUCCAGCAACGAGCGCAACCCUUAUCUUUAGUUGCUACCAUUAAGUUGAGCACUCUAGAGAGACUGCCGGUGUUAAACCGGAGGAAGGCGGGGAUGACGUCAAGUCCUCAUGGCCCUUACGGCCAGGGCUACACACGUACUACAAUGGCGCAGACAAACCGACGCAAAACUGUAAAGUGGAGCCAAUCGGAAAAACAGCGUCUCAGUCCGGAUUGAAGUCUGCAACUCGACUUCAUGAAGCUGGAAUCGCUAGUAAUCGCAGAUCAGCACGCUGCGGUGAAUACGUUCCCGGGCCUUGUACACACCGCCCGU
rnacentral:rRNA from 1 species